rnacentral:misc_RNA from 1 species
GAUGAAGAACGUAGCGAAAUGCGAUAAGUAAUGUGAAUUGCAGAAUUCAGUGAAUCAUCGAAUCUUUGAACGCACAUUGCGCCCCCUGGUAUUCCGGGGGGCAUGCCUGUUCGAGCGUCAUUUAAACCUUCAAGCUCAGCUUGGUGAUGGGUGACUGUCCGCUGCCUCCCCCCGGGGUGCGCCGCGGACUCGCCUCAAAUUUAUUGGCGGCCGGUACGUUGGCUUCGAGCGCAGCAGAAACGCGUAACUCGAGGUCUCCGUGGCGGCUCCCACAAGCAACCUUCAUUAUUUUGACCUCGGAUCAGGUAGGGAUACCCGCUGAACUUAAGCAUAUCAAUAAGCGGAGGA